rnacentral:sRNA from 1 species
GGAGAAGAGCUGUGGGAGCUCCUUCAGAAGCACCCACCUUUGUUUUUUGAGAGAGAUGGGAUCUCACUAUGUUGCCUAGGCUGUUUUUGAACUCCCAAAGUGCUGGAUUCCGGGUGUGAGCCACCGGACCGGGCCUGCUCUGCCUUUCUCUAGGGAGGAGGAGCCAAUGCCAGGAGGUUGGCUCUGGGCCGGGACCAGCCCCUGCACUCACCCCUGUCUUCCACAGGUCAUCGAUUACAACGGGGAACGCACGCUGGAUGGUUUUAAGAAGUUCCUGGAGAGCGGUGGCCAGGAUGGGGCAGGGGAUGAUGAUGAUCUCGAGGACCUGGAAGAAGCAGAGGAGCCAGACAUGGAGGAAGAUGAUGAUCAGAAAGCUGUGAAAGACGAACUGUAAUACGCAAAAGCCAGACCCGGGCGCCGCCGAGACCCCUCGGGGGCUGCACACCCAGCAGCAGCGCACGCCUCCGAAGCCUGCGGCCCUCGCUUGAAGGAGGGCGUCGCCGGAAACCCAGGGAACCUCUCUGAAGUGACACCUCACCCCUACACACCGUCCGUUCACCCCCGUCUCUUCCUUCUGCUUUUCGGUUUUUGGAAAGGGAUCCAUCUCCAGGCAGCCCACCCUGGUGGGGCUUGUUUCCUGAAACCAUGAUGUACUUUUUCAUACAUGGGUCUGUCCAGAGUGCUUGCUAGAGUGUUCGGAGUCUCGCUGCCUCCCUCCCGCGGGAGGUUUCUCCUCUUUUUGAAAAUUCCGUUUGUGGGAUUUUUAGACAUUUUUCGACAUCAGGGUAUUUGUUCCACCUUGGCCAGGCCUCCUCGGAGAAGCUUGUCCCCUGUGUGGGAGGGACGGAGCCGGACUGGACAUGGUCACUCAGUACCGCCUGCAGUGUCGCCAUGACUGAUCAUGGCUCUUGCAUUU